rfam:Oryza sativa Japonica Group DNA, chromosome 9, cultivar: Nipponbare, complete sequence.
CCAGAGGUUUUUCUAGAAACCACUUACCAUAGGCCACGAAGCAGCGU